rnacentral:rRNA from 1 species
UACGGAGGGGGCUAGCGUUGUUCGGAAUUACUGGGCGUAAAGCGCACGUAGGCGGCUUUGUAAGUUAGAGGUGAAAGCCCAGGGCUUAACUCUGGAAUUGCCUUUAAGACUGCAUCGCUAGAAUCGUGGAGAGGUGAGUGGAAUUCCGAGUGUAGAGGUGAAAUUCGUAGAUAUUCGGAAGAACACCAGUGGCGAAGGCGACUUACUGGACACGUAUUGACGCUGAGGUGCGAAAGCGUGGGGAGCAAACAGG